UUUUGUCAAUUAAUUUAGUAAAAUUUCAUAAUAAUCCCUAAAUUAGUAGACUAACCACUAUAAAAUGGUUAUUCCCGAGAAAAACGGAGACAACAAAGGUUUCAAACCUCUUUCACCUUCAUCAUAUGUUAGUGAAGGAUGCAACUAUGCAUUAAAAUAGAAUUUUAAUUUUUUUUUUUUUUUCUCAAAAUCUAUAGGUUAACCCCCUACGAAAAUAUUUAAUUUUUCGGUAAAUGCUCUAUAUACUGAAACCUAUGAUUUUUAUUGUAGUUUUUAAAAAUUUAAACACAUUCUACAUUUGUAUUAAUGUA
rnacentral:lncRNA from 1 species